rnacentral:lncRNA from 1 species
CUCUUCCGAUGCUGGGGUGGCUCAGGUCCCGGCCGGAGGCGAUGCCCUUCGCCCUGGGUCACCUCCCCGGCACCUGCGGCCCCCGGGGAGCAGGACCCGCUGCCCUGCAGCUUCCCUUCCAGCGUGCCUUCAGCAUCACCGGCUGCCGGCAUCCCGGGAAGCAUGAUUACCAUCAAAAGGAAAAAACCCCUCUGACACCAGCUAUGCUGAGCAGCUGCAGUAUGGAGCUUGGGAAAAACAUUUUGUGAGGAAGAUCACUGAUCUGGAAGCAAACUCCAGAUGUGCAGACGUGCAUGGAUACAUUCUCUUCAUAAAGAGUCUUCAAGAUGGUUCCUCUGCCCUGGCAGCCAUUUGGUUUCUUCUUUCAUCAGCCACAUCCUUGAAAAAUCUUCAUUUGAAAGAAAAGAAGCUACAACUUUGAAUGCAUGUUGCAAGGAUGUCAUAGGUUUCUCCCAAGCACUUGUGAGGAUGGUUCUGGAUAAAUCAUCCCAGUUUCCUGUAUUUAUUCUCCCCAAGGGUGCAGUGAAUCAGCAUUCCUGGGUGCAUGAAAACUGUCACCAAAUGGCAAAAGAAAACAGCAACAGCAGCAGUGCCUGAACUGCAAAGGCAACCACCAGUUGUUAGUUCUUCAGGACUUGGUUGAGUGUCUAAGAUAUAAAUGCUGGCAAUUAUUUUUUGAUUUGGUUUUAUGUUUGCUAGUUUUGGUUCUUUUGGAAUGCUUCCAGUUUUUGGGAGACCCAUGCAGUUUAGCAGAGUUGGGUAAGUAUAACAGGUGAUGCUCCUCUGGGCAUUUUUGAAGCUCGUUGGCU